rnacentral:lncRNA from 1 species
ACUUGUUCGGUUAGGAAGACUUUUUUAGGCACAUGUGUCCUAGAUUUUCAUUUCUGUGUGCAAAGGUCUUUGAGAAAUUUGGCAUAAGAUGGAACUUGUCUAAUAGCAUCAAGAAGCGGGAGGUUGAUUUUGACUUGUUUGAAAACCUCCAUCAUCUUCUCUAGUGAAGUUCCCUUUUUGCCAAAGAAGAUGGUGGACUAGCUAAAGAAGAAGAAGGUUUUGGAUUAUCAUGUGAUACAUUUCUCUCCUCCUCUUUACCUUCCUUAUUGUUACCCUCCCCAAUCUUAUUGUCUACUACACGUCCACUCCUUAGGGUAGUCAAAGCAUUGGCUUGUUCAUGAUGAAUUGUAUUUAGUUGAUUUUCUUGAGCUAUGUAUUGUCCCCUAGGAUUACUCACUGGUUGGCUUGGAAGCUUUCCUUCCUCUCGCUUGUUCAGUGUAUUAGCUAGUUGCCCCAUUUGGGAUUCUAGCUUGGCGAUGGAUUGCGUGUGAGAGUGCACCAAUUGU